AUUGAACGCUGGCGGCAUGCCUUACACAUGCAAGUCGAACGGUAACAGGUUAAGCUGACGAGUGGCGAACGGGUGAGUAAUGUAUCGGAACGUGCCCAGUCGUGGGGGAUAACUGCUCGAAAGAGCAGCUAAUACCGCAUACGACCUGAGGGUGAAAGCGGGGGAUCGCAAGACCUCGCGCGAUUGGAGCGGUCGAUAUCAGAUUAGGUAGUUGGUGAGGUAAAGGCUCACCAAGCCGACGAUCUGUAGCUGGUCUGAGAGGACGACCAGCCACACUGGGACUGAGACACGGCCCAGACUCCUACGGGAGGCAGCAGUGGGGAAUUUUGGACAAUGGGCGCAAGCCUGAUCCAGCCAUGCCGCGUGCGGGAAGAAGGCCUUCGGGUUGUAAACCGCUUUUGUCAGGGAAGAAAAGGUUCUGGCUAAUACCUGGGACUCAUGACGGUACCUGAAGAAUAAGCACCGGCUAACUACGUG
rnacentral:rRNA from 1 species